GGGAAGGGGUUCACACUGUGUCCUCCGGGCAGAAUACAAGGGAGCGAAGUCACGUGAACGUACGCAGUGUGUCACUUUAUGGGGGGUUCUCUCCAUACUGCCCAGAUGUUUCUUCUUUUCUGCUGAGGGGCCAAUAAUAUAGGAAACUUCCCAAACCUUUCUUCUAUUGAGGACACCCCUGGCUAAACUCUCCAAAGACUUCUCCUGGAAGACAGAUGGCUGCCAGAUGUGGGGUUUAUGUGUGAGAAUCAUUGCUUGUUUCCCAGAGAGCAUUUCUCUCCCCUACACGUAUAUAUUUGACUGGAUCUCACUGAGUGUAAGCUCUGCAGCACGGGCCCGCUGGAAUGAAAUCUGGAAGCGUUUAAGCAAGGGUGAUCUGUUAUGUCUUACACAUUUGUUCAAAGGACAAAUACCUAGAACCCAGGAAGUAGGAGGUGUGGUGAGACCCGUUUAUCUUUCUGAUCUUAAAGUGAAAAAAUAUAGCCCUAUAAUACACAAGGACCAGAGGGGUAAGUUUAAAGGAAACAGUCGCUGCUGUGGAGCCCAAAGACAUAUAGGGAGCCCAGUGAGAAAAUGACUUCUAAACAGUUUCAAUGUAUAGAUGUUUAUGUUACCAUAGUGCUUAAAAAUGUUUAGUUACAACCUAUACAUUGUCUUCUUAUAAAUGGUGCUUACUGCUUAGUGAUGUCAUGAGUUAUAACCUCCCUUGCGACACCUUGUAACAUUUAAAAUAUGUUAUUAAUUGUACUGACAGAGAUACAUGUCUUUUAUAAUACUAUCCCUUAUAAUACACGAGUAUAACUCAGCCUGCAGCCUUG